rnacentral:lncRNA from 1 species
AAAUUUCCUUCCACAUAUAAUUAGAUAUAACACGAAGCAAAAAAUGGCUGACCUGCGGAUCACUGCAUUACUAAUAGUCGCUUUUCUCGUAAUGAAUUCAGGUACACAUUUUUACACACAGCACACACAUACGGAUAAUAUCAUAAUACUCCCGCUGUCUCAAAAUAGGUGUCAAUUUGACUUUUUUCACGUAAUUUAAGCUGCACAAAAAACAUAUUUAGACAUAGUAUUAUUUUUCAAAUUUUUUUUUUCUAAAUAAAACUUUAACAUCUAUACUUUUAUUCAAAAAAAGUAAAUUUGAAAAAUAAUGUGUCGAAGUAUGUUUUUUUAACAUCUUAAAUGACGUGCAAAAAGUUAAAUCGGCACUUAUUUUGGGACGGAGGGAGUAUUUUAGUAAUUAGCCUGGAUUUGGUAGAUUAACAUGUUUAUUUGUAUUUUUUAUCAGACAUCGAGCAAGUUACGUCAGCCCGAGUCGACUUAACGAGAAGCCCGGUUCAAAUAGUUUCGAAUAAAAUUCAAUGUUGCCAUGACAAUCCUAACAUGCAUUGUAAUCCAGGUUAUAAAUCGGAAAAAGAUUGUGAUAAAGCUUGUCGCGAUGGUUGUAGCAAUCAUAAAGGAGGGUUUUGCAAGAAUCAUAAGUGUCAUUGUAAAUGUUAAUUUGCUGAUAUUCUUUCGUAUUAUCGGCAUUGAAACUAGUGUAAUUUGAAUAAAUUUUUCGUCGAAAUAAUUUUUGAGCGAUGAGGGCAUACUUUCGCAGACAACUGAAUGUAAAAAUAAUUGUAUGGUGGCACACAAUACAUUUAUAUAGAUAUAUUAUGACUUGGAUGCAGA